GUCCGCCUAACCGCGUGCACUGAUGCGGCCGGGCCUUUCCUUCUGGCUAACCUCAUGCCCUUUACUGGGUGUGCUGGGGAUCCAGGACUUUUACUUUGAAAAAAUUAGAGUGUUCAAAGCAGGCCUAUGCUCGAAUACAUUAGCAUGGAAUAAUAAAAUAGGACGGCGGUUCUAUUUUGUUGGUUUCUAGAGCCACCGUAAUGAUUAAUAGGGAUAGUCGGGGGCAUCAGUAUUCAAUUGU
rnacentral:rRNA from 1 species